GAAAAUCUUCCCGCAGAGCGAACAAACACCAGGAGACGCCUGGCCGCACUUACGCCGGUGGCUCUCGCAAUCGCUAUAUCUGCAAUUAAAGACAAUCAUUAACUAGAGGUAGACCAAGAUAAGUCGGCAGCGAUUUACAUAGCCCAGACUAUGCAAGUAUUCAAAUAAUUUAGAAUAAAACUUGCACAGUCUGGGAUAACUCUAUGAAGAAAAGAAAGAAAGAAAAUACAUGUAUUUAACGCCACAACACAUACAGAGAAAAUAAACAUUGGACGCUAAAAUAGGAUCCACUCAGCAUAAUGCCGCGGCGAUCCGUGGCGCUGUUUUUUUUUUCUCUUUAUUUUGGCACAAACAGUCAUUACAAAAAAGUUACAAUUGUCUUAUAUUACAUAUAAUAUUGACAAUACAGUGCCGAAAACGUAUUAGAUUAUAUUUAUUAAUUUUGUUGCAAUGGACCUGAAUUAACUUAACUAUAAGAAGAUGGAAUUGAAAGAAGGAAAACGUUCAAGCGCUGACCACUGUCCCAGUAAAUGGCACCAUUAAACAUAAGUUAUUAAAUAAGUGACAGUGACAUGCCAAGCACUAGGACGUUCACCCUCGUAAUUGUUUACUACCUACUUAAUAUCUAAGUAUAAAGUGCAAAAAAUACCCCACAUAAAUAUAAGAGCUGUAACAAAACUAAUAGACAGCACGCUCAAAUACAAAAAUGGCGAUGGGCUGGACAUGUAGCCAGGCUGUCUGACUCGCGCUGGACCUUGCAAGCUACCACCUGGAGGGGACCUGCAGGCAAACGACGCUCCGGCAAACCAAACAGUCGUUGGACUGAUGACAUUAAUAAAAUAGUUGGUAAAAACUGGAAAUAUAUAGCUGCAAACAGAGAUAGAUGGAAGUCCUUGGAGGAGGCCUUCACCCGAUGAGGGGUUCUUGUCCGCUACAAAUAGUUAAUCAUUUGUUUAUAAAAAAUAAUAUGU